rnacentral:lncRNA from 1 species
AUUAGUACCACCUGGGGAGCUAUUGGGAGAUGCCCAGGUCAUGCAUGGGCACCAACUCAGACCAAUUAAAUCAGGAACUCUGGGAGGGGGAUCCAAGCAUCAGAAUGGUUUGAUGCUCCCUAGGUAAUUACAAUAGGCAGCAAAGGCUGAGAACCACUUAGCAUAACCUGCAGUUAUAGUUCUCACAUGUGGUUGUUCCCCAUGAUAAAAACUUUAAAUUUUAACUCUAAUGUAUUUGGAAGCAACCUUAUCUGCUUGUAUCUCACAGGGAUCACUGGAUACUGCAAGGCAAUAUAGAUGGUAGACGGGCAAGAGUGGAAGCAUCUCUCCAAUUUGAAGAAGAUGGCAAAACGUUGCCCUUGCAUAACAUCAGAAGAUCCCUAAUGUCUGCCUUGAAGAGCUCUCGACAAUAGCAGCAAUGAACUACAGAAAAUGUUACAAUGUCAUUGCUACAUGAAGAGAAGAUCAAGAGAAUUCAGCCAGAAGACUGUAGAAACAAAGUCAUGAAUCAUGCUGUCCUUGGAUAACCCGGUGUCACCCAGAAUCUCUGUAUCCCUUGGAAAUGUAGACUUUCUCCAACCGCCUCUCCCUCCUUGGUGGCUUCUCUGCCUGGACAGACUUGUCUUUGUAUUAGUAGUGUCACUUUACCUCCUACUACUCAGGAACAGACCAGCCAGUCCCAUGACAAAUUUCCACAAAAUGCCAUGUAUCUUGUAAAUUUAAUGAAUCACUUUGGGAAAAGGUGGGACACAGAGAGCUUAAUGUAAAAAAACCCAUUUUUUUGGUCAGAGUGCUGAAAAAAAUAGAACUUCUUUAACAGGUUCUGAGUAGAAACAUAGCUCAAUGAAGAAAUAAAAGCACCUACUGUUUGAAAGUCCUGCUGUUAAAGUCUUACUUUUCUUCAUUACACCGGGCAUAGUGGGAAGAAAUCUGCUUCUGUUUCACUCAGGGAUAUUGUUCUGGAAUCACAGCUUUUCAGACAGGCUUCCUGUGGAUUACCAUGAGGCUAGCCCUAAAUGUUUAUAAGGGACUCCCUUGCCUAUUUCUCCCCUUGUAUCCAUCUUCAUUGUGAUUUCCUCCUAGGUCAUAAUUUGGCUCAAGGUCCUGAUUAGUUUCAAGUGGGUAAAAUGACCUAUUAUCAGAUAUGAAUCGAGGGGAAACAGAAGAAGGGCCUGUUUGGUUGGCUCUGCAGUUCAGAGCAAUGGAAGACUUUCUUUCUGUGGUAUCCAGGAGUUUGGCAGUGAC